rnacentral:miRNA from 1 species
AUUUGGCUCUGAAAUCUUGCUGU